rnacentral:misc_RNA from 1 species
UUUCCGUAGGUGAACCUGCGGAAGGAUCAUUAAUGGGAAAUCAAAUCAAAACAACUGUUCUGUUGCACUGGGUGUGCUGUGUGGUGGUGGUGUGAGACAUGGAGAUUCAAUCAUUGGAGAUUCAAUCAUUGGAGAUUCAAUCAUUGGAGAUUCAAUCAUUGGAGAUUCAAUCAUUGGAGAUUCAAUCAUUGGAAUUUCAAUCAUUGGAGAUUCAAUCAUUGGAAUUUCAAUCAUUGGAGGUUCAAUCAUUCAAUCUCAAUCAUCGCCACACAACACAACUAUCUAUCACACUCGAUCAACAACAACACACUCACACACAACAGCAAACAACUUUUAACAAUGGAUCUCUUGGCUCUU